UUUGGUCAAAUUUAAACUACUCUAAGUUUAACUAAUUUUAUAAAAAGAUAGUAAUAUUUUAAAUAAAUUUUCAUAAUAUAUUUAUUUUGGGUUAAAAAUAUUACUACUUUUUUCUAUAAAAUUAGUCAAACUUAGAAUAGUUGGACUUUAACUAAA
rnacentral:pre_miRNA from 1 species